UUAACUCCUGUUCGGGUGAUCGCCCUGGUGCGGUUCGCGCGGCGUGCCAGCCAAUCUGACCUGUUGAUUGGCAAGGAAGAAUACGUGUCAGAUCCCAGAGGCUGCGAUCGGCUAAAUUUCCGAUCUCGAGAAAGCUUAUCAGCGAAUCGGCCGAUUUGCCGUAAUAAAGAAAUCGGCUAUGAAGCAGCCGAUUACUGAGCAGCGUGAACGAAAACUAUUGGAGUAAUCAAUACAAUGCUACAGUAACAACACUAGGAAUAGAUCUAGUCGGCUAUGUGUAAAAUAAGCAAGUUAAAUGACUAAAUACGAGAAAAGCCGAUAUUGCCGAUUCCUAGCUGGAUAACUGGUGAUAGAACUAGAACAAAAGGUAAAACCUAUAAUUCUAGUAAAUAUCGAUAACUAGUGAAUAAAUCUAAACGAAACAACAGCGAUGCGCCCGAAGUUAAAGCUUAGAAUUUACUCGGUAAACGGAACUUACAAGAUCGGCCGGAGGUCAAAUUGAUGCAGCCCCGCCAACCCGUAGGAACUCGUGAAAAAGAAGAAAGUAUUUGGCGAAGUCGCCUGCUUGAAAGUAAGUACGAGGAAAUAGUAGUUUGUUGUAUUGAGUUGUUGAUUACAGAUCUACAAAGGUGGCUAUUUAUAGCCCCGUACAGAUAACUCCUUAUCUGACUAGAACUCUAUCCCUAAUUCAAACAGAAAACGAAUAUUUACAAGUACGAUUCGUACUAGGUUGAUUAUUAUGCGCUCCAUGGGCUGAUUCCCUCUUCAUCUUUAUAGUCCUUUCUAAGCCCAUACCGGCCCAACUAUUCCAACCUCCUAACCGGCCGAUUUCCUCAUCGGCGGAGGGUAACCGAU
rnacentral:lncRNA from 1 species